rnacentral:rRNA from 1 species
CCUACGGGAGGCAGCAGUGGGGAAUAUUGGACAAUGGGGGGAACCCUGAUCCAGCGACGCCGCGUGAGUGAAGAAGUAUUUCGGUAUGUAAAGCUCUAUCAGCAGGGAAGAAAGAAAUGACGGUACCUGACUAAGAAGCCCCGGCUAACUACGUGCCAGCAGCCGCGGUAAUACGUAGGGGGCAAGCGUUAUCCGGAUUUACUGGGUGUAAAGGGGGCGUAGACGGCGAUGCAAGUCUGAAGUGAAAGGCGGGGGCCCAACCUCCGGACUGCUUUGGAAACUGUAUGGCUGGAGUGCAGGAGAGGUAAGUGGAAUUCCUAGUGUAGCGGUGAAAUGCGUAGAUAUUAGGAGGAACACCAGUGGCGAAGGCGGCUUACUGGACUGUAACUGACGUUGAGGCUCGAAAGCGUGGGGAGCAAACAGGAUUAGAUACCCGAGUAGAC